UUAAAAAUCCAUUGAAUCCACCAUUUGUAAAAACGAGCACCCCCAUCAGAUUUUCAUUUCUUCUCCUUCACAUUCCAAAAACUGUAGGCUUCAUCUUCUUUACAAAACCAGCCACAGAUAUCUUUUAAUCAGUCACACUUCCAUCUCAACAAAAAAAACAACACCCAUCAGCUAGACAUCACCCUCACAACUAACGAGCUGAAAAGCAGCCUAUUUCCCGGCGAAAUUUCAGCUGUAAAACCAUCUCUCAAACAGCCCCGAACCAGCUCAAAAAUGACCCCAACCAGCCCAAAACGAAGCCAUGUAGUAGCUGCGAUUUUCAUUCGAGGUUCUCCGAUCAAGCUUCGGUUCCGGCUCCUAUUCAUACCAUUAUUGCUAUAAUUCCUUGAGGUUGCUGGGUUCGGCGAAUUUGUCGCUGGAUUCGUCCUUCGAGGUAUCGUUUGAGGUUAAGUUCAUGGAUCUUAAUCCCGUUUUGCUGCUGUCUCGCUAUCUCUUUGUUAGAUACUUCAAUUCCGGCACCAAAUUUCUCUGUAUUUGACUCCAAAUGAGAUUAAUCAAAGUUGCGGUUUCAUUUUUGCUCGUGUAACUAUGGAACGUUUUUCUUGAGAAAUUGAAACUUCAACUUUCAGGUGCAAUUCUUUCCUUUCCCUUUUAUUUCUUUUUAGGUGCAGAUUAAAGUUUGGUAGGAGCCAAGGUCUUAUUGGUUUGAUGAAUGUUCGAGAGUUGGUUUGAAUGAGUUAAUUGAAAUAGAUUUGAAUAAUUCAUUUUCUAUGCUUUGGAUGUUCUAGUUUCCAUUAUAUGUUGGAGUAUCCCUUAAAUUUCGAUUUCUUGGUUAAUUAUAUGUUGAUUAAGACUUGGCUGAUUUGUGAUUGUUAAGUGAGUCGUGAUGCAGUGAUGUAUUCUGUUGGUUGUUGUUGUGAGUUUUUGGCUCGUUUUGCGGCUUAAGCAUGAGAUGAGUGCUGGAAUUCUGAUGUUCUGUCAUGUUUUUAGUUUAUCUUAAUCCAUCUAAAUUUCUGAAAUCGGCUGCAAUUCUUUGUUCAAACUCAACUUGAUUUGACUGUUGUGCAUGUAAAGUAGUGACGACGCCUCAAUGCUAAGUGCUGCAGAAUCAGUGAUAUGUUUCUUUGGUGAUUUACAUUGGUCUUUUGUUUGUCCCUGUUAAAACUAAAUGAAAAUGACUACUUCAAAUCAUGAUCAGUGUGAUUCAAUAACUUAGGUAUGGUCUGCUCAAUUUGUGUCUUUGAAGCAUGCUGAAAUCCUUUGAUGAACACCAUAUUGUUGCCUUCUGUUUGGUUGUUCAUAUCGACGUUGCCUUCGGUGUUAUCUUCAAAUUAAUCUCUAAGCCCUAACAAACGCACCUGAUGCAUAUGAGCAUCCUCGUUGGUCUAACAGAGUUUAAACACUAAGUGAAUACUGAAAUAGUUCUUUGACAUUCCCUAUUUGUCAUCGUCUUUGUUUUGGUGUUAUUCAGACAUUCCGAGACUUUUUUGGGUUCAUAUGAGAAUAUGCACGUCUUUAAGAUUCUAUGGAAUCGGAUCCAUGUUUUCCAUUAUUCCAAUUCUUCAUGCUACAUUUCCAUGUGUUGUAGCUAAUGAAUAUGUCCAUUUUGCUCCCCGGAAUGUUCACGAAUGUGCAUCUGCAAGACAUGUUUGCAUUCUCAUUCCGUAGCAAGUUUGUCUUUUACAGAAAUUGGAAACUUGUGUCAUUUGGAUGCAAAUUAUGUGAGUCAUUGAGUUAGAGUUGGAAUUAGCUCUUUAAGUGUCUUUAUUUCCAAAGUCGGGUGUGCAUUUAUGUGACCCAAAUCAAAUCUCAACAACGUUAGAUAAAAUGUGUCGUGAAUCGCGAGUGCAUUUAUGUGACGUGGUUCAAGGCGUGUUUUAACUAACGUUGAAAUCUUCCUAAAAAAAUAAUUAAAUAAAAGCUGUUAUAAAGUUAAAAUUGCACCAUAGGUUAAAACAUGUACUAAAAUCAAGUAAAUUGGCCAAUUAUAACAGUUGAGCGACCGUGCUAGAACCAUGGAACUCGGGAAUGCCUAAUACCUUCUCCCGGGUUAACAGAAUUCCUUACCCGGAUUUCUGUGUUCGCGGACUGCAAUACAGAGUAAAUCUUUUCCUCGAUUCAGGAUUUGAACCGGUGACUUGGGACACCAUAAAAUUAUCCCAAGUGGCGACUCUGAAUUUUUUCAUAAAAUAAUCCCGUUUCGAUUGUCACUUAAAUUGGAAAAACUCCCUUAUAUACCCCUCCGCGGGGUAGUGAAAAGGAGGUAUGACAGCUGGAAGAGAAGAGAAGAGUCAGGUGCACAUACAAAGUUAGAGUCGUAAAGGUUGCAUGAUAGAAGGUAGCAACAGUUACGAGAUUAGAAGGAUUCCAACUAAAAGUUGUGGUGAGAGGAAGAGGCUUAAAGGGGGGAAUACCCUGGCCUUUGGGAUUCAUUCACAGAACAGCCGCCUAGAUGGCAAGAUGAGUACUAAAGUAUUCGCAAGACCGAUGGGUUAUGAGAAUGAUAAGUACAUCAGUCAAUAUUCGAGGACGAAUGUUCCAAAGGGGGGAUGUUACACCGCAUGUUUUCGUACGUGAAAGUAUGCCACAAGUAAAUUGAUAUAGGAUCGCAAAUGAGAUGUUACGUCCCGCAUUUUUGUACGUUGAAGUUUAAUCAUAAGUUAAUUGACGUAAGUUCGGGAAUGAAAUUUAUUUUGGGAUUAUAAGUGUCACGUUAUUUAAGCAAAUAAUAAGUAAAUUCGUGAAGGUGAGAGGGUAAGAAAAUCGAAAAAAAUGAGUUUCGUCAAAGUUUGGCAUCUUGGGAUAAAGUACGGCCCGAGCUAAAAUACCCGAUAUUUAUGAACUAGUACCAUACAAGAUACCACAUGUCCAUGAUAGUAAGGUGUAUAAAGUGUAUUAAAAGUGAUUAUCAUUUUUUGUAAUUUGAGAUAAUUCUUAAUUUUAUGGGUAAUUAGUUAAUUAUUGGUUAAUGGGAGAUUAUCUAUUUAAUUAAAAAAUGUUUGGAUAAGACCAACCCUCCCCAUGUGGCAGCACCCCCCAAUCCCCAUGUAUUACUCUUAAGUUAAAUAUAUAUGUGACAAGAUUUGAGGAUUUGACAAAAUCUUCUAACAUCAAUUAUACACCAUUUUAGGAAAUGGAAAAUUAUGUCAUAAAGACAUAAAUCAUAUCUCCACUUUUAUUAAAUCAGAUUUCAAGAAUUCAAAAUAUAAUAUCUUGUAUCAAGACCAAAUCUAGUAACCAAGAAAGAAGAGAUGGAAAUAUGAAAUUGCUUCAGAAAAUUCAUAAAAGAUCCGAUUAUGCGAAAGAUGCAAUUCUAAGGAAGCACGGUAUAAUCUUUAUCAAGAAUAUUAUACGGAUUUUUCUCUACUUCGAUCUGCCAUUACGUAUUGUCCUAAUUGACGUGUGUUAGAGGGAUUUUUAAGAGAAUUGACUUAAGUAUGUUAAGGUUAUCUCUUCCUUCUUUUGGCAUGAUCCAUAUGAUACAAACGAAACACGCAAAUUCACAAUUUCCAUAAAUGACUCUAUUCAUCGAAAUACUAGAGAUGUUUAUAUUCUUGAUUUUCCAUGUGUCAUACUAUUCUAUCAUCUGUUCAUGGGUCUCAAAAAUACUUAAGUUGAUAAAGUUUAUUUCAUGAUAUUAAUUGGAGGUAUAAUGGUCUUAUGGCACUCAAAAAGAUUUUAUUGACGUACUUCUCAUGCAUUGCAUUCAUGUACAAUGACCCUUGACCAGAUGGCUUUAUAUACUCGUAUAUAUGUAUAUAUAUGAUCUAUGGGAAAAGGUUACGGCAUUAUAUACGCACCACCACCUGAUCAGCUAGCAUACAUUGAUGAUAUUGUCCACAGUGGUCGAGAUGAUAUGAUGGGAUGCCCUCACAGGCUUGAUGAUAUUAUGAACGCAUAUACUCAUGCAUGGUAUGACUUUUACACGCAUAUGCAAGACAUUUUAAAUAUUAAAAGAUUUAUAAAGUUGUUCAGACUUACAUGCCGAGUCUUUUACUCCAUGUUUCUCUCAUGUCUAUUAUUUAUUGAUUUUCAUUCUUUACAUACAUGGUAUAUUAUUUGUAAUGACGUUCCUUUUGCCUGGGGACGCUGUAUUUCAUGCCCACAGGUCCCGAUAGACAGGUCGAGAGCCCUCCAAGUAGACUUUCAGCUCAACAGAAGAUGUUGGUGCGCUAUAUUUGCUUCGGAGUUGCUUGUUUGGUUAGUAUGGUUUAGAUGUGUUUUGUUUGGUAUGGCGUGACUCUAUCCCUGCCUUUAAAAAAUUAUGUAUUCUUAGAGGCUUAUAGAUAGAUUUCAUGUACGUAAAUUAUGGCAUGACUCUAUCCCUGCCUUUAUAAAAUUAUGUAUUCUUAGAGGCUUAUAGAUAGAUUUCAUGUACGUAAAAUAUUGUAUGGCCUUGUCAUCCUAUUUUCAGUGUACGAGUGGUUAUUUUGGUCUUACAGGCACGCAUGUCUUAUGCAUAAGUUGGUAUCAUAUGUUGUAUUCUACCUAUCUCACGGUAGCCUUUCGACUCAUUUAUCUAUUAUAGUAUGACAUGAAAAGAUACAUUAUGUUG
rnacentral:lncRNA from 1 species